UACAGAGGGUGCAAGCGUUAAUCGGAAUGACUGGGCGUAAAGGGCGCGUAGGCGGAUAGAUAAGUCAGAUGUGAAAGACCUGGGCUUAACCUGGGAUGUGCAUCUGAGACUGUAUAUCUAGAGUAGAGUAGAGGGAAGUGGAAUUUCCGGUGUAGCGGUGAAAUGCGUAGAUAUCGGAAAGAACAUUCGUGGCGAAGGCGACUUUCUGGGCUCAUACUGACGCUGAGGCGCGAAAGCGUGGGUAGCAAACAGG
rnacentral:rRNA from 1 species